AAAAAAUAACAAUGAUGUCAUCAGUAUUUUUUAUGCAUCACAAUAAGAAGAGUGGAACAACUGAGAGUUCUCCUUCCAGAAUGCUGGCAUAAAGAAUAUCAUGUGGUGGUGAGGACAGAACCGGGGGCUUGGAAGGGACCCCCAGGCCUCCUGUGUGACUUUGGACAAGUGGCUUCCUCUCUCCCAUCAUCGGAGUCCAGAGGGUCUCAGUGGACACAGAGCUUCUCCAAGACCCUGCACCUCCACUCAUUCCUCUAACCCUCUACACAGGCUGCAAAACUGAGACAUUUUUACAAGUAUACUUCGUGUCAUGUGAUGAAAAGUAUGUUGGAAAGAGUCACCCAGGAUCUUGUAUGUGAGGCUUCUUCCUCGAAGUACAGAAAGGUGAAUUUAGUGGAGUCGCAAGAAGAAAUUAUGAAAGUUCAACUAGCCACAAAAAAUCACAUAAAAGAAAAUGUUUAAAAAGCAAAAAUUUACAACCUUGCUCUCCUCCUCCCUCCCUUCUCCUUCUUUCUCUGUCCACGGCCCUAGUAGACUGAUGCGCCACCUGGGUAGGAAAACCACAGCCCAGCUAAGCCUAAUGUGGAGCCUCAAGGAUGCCAGUGCUGCUAAGCUCCUCGUGAGCCCCAUCUCUCCUCCCAGCUGUCACCUAGGGGCAUCUCUGCAAAUCGUACAGCCGCUUUUCUCAAGCAGCCCUUGAACUCCUCCUCUGGGCUGCUGUGUGGGGAUACGCCAGGGACAUCUCUGUGAGUAGGAUCUGGCCGGGCCCUCCAGCAUGGAGCAGCACCAAGCAAGGAAGCUACCUUGUAAGCAGCACCAUAAGAGCAGCUCCCCAACCCUCAGGGAAAACACACACUAUAGAAGAGGCCUCCCAGAAUAGGAAUGGGUCUGGGCAUCCUCAGGUGGAUGAGGAGAAAGAGAUUCAUCGUGUUGUAGUCUCUUGUCCCCAAACAGCCUGCACUCACUUGACAAGGCCAAAGACCUGGGGGUAGAGGUGCUGUGGGAUGCUGAAGGGUGGAGAUCUGGCCACGGCUCAAAACUCCAAAGAGCACUGCUCAUGAGUUAUGAAAUAUAGGUGGAGAAGGUCACAGCAAUGCAAAGUUCCUCUGUGCCCAUGAAAAGGGCAAGCUCAGAGGCACUGGGGAAAUGACACCAGUGAGUUUACCUCUGGAAGAGAAGAGCUGCCCAGACCCUUAGAGGAUGCCAUGCAGUCAGUGCUGCCCCAGAAUCCAGCCUACCUGAAGUCUUUUCCUUGGCUUCAUCCUCAUUCUUGGUAAGAUUUAAGGCCCCUUACAGCCAUCUGGAAGAUUCAAAGAGGCCUCAGAGGGAGAAGCCCUGCCCACGAUCCCAUGAACUAGGAGACAGCCUUUCCUCCACUCAUCAUAGUAGCUUUUCUUCCUGGGUGUAGAAAAGGGAGAUGGGAAUAGAAUGGAGAAGCCCAUCCUUCCCAGAGGCUAACGAUGAUGGG
rnacentral:lncRNA from 1 species